CUUCAGCUCAGGAAGAACUCAGGAUGGCAACAAGCACCAAAAAGGAGUCUUUUCAGAUUUCUACGUUUUUUAAGUCUAGCUCCUUAGGAGAACGGAAAGGACUCAAACUAGAAAAAGAUUGGAAAAGGAGAGUUGGAGAAGCAGAGAGGGCAGUGGCGCCGUUACGUACCUGAGAGACGUGCCAGCGCUUUACUCCACAGGCUGAGCUUGAGAAAGGCGGCAAGACCCUGAGAAGAAAUGGCGGCACGAAAAGUGUUGCGGAGGAUGCGGAGUUCCCAGUCCCGCCAUGCUGUAGGCGUUGAAAAAUGAUCUCCUCGCACCCCAAAAUAGCACAGAGGAGGCCCUGAAACCAGAUGGGGCCACGUGGGUGGAAACAAGGAGGUUCUCUUCAGUGGCUGGCACUAAACAGCACCCAAGGAACAAUCAGGAUGAAGGUCUCAGCCGAUGCCGCUGUGGCUAGAUGACGAAAGAGGUUCUUCUAGAUUUCCACCUCUCUUGUAAGACCAGCAGAAUCUCCUAUAGUGUAUCUUCUCUGGGACUGGUUGUUCUGCAUUGGGAACAUGCCUUGGAGCUCCUAGUCUGCAGCACCCACAAUGCCCAAAGCAGAUUACAAGUGCAUCCAGAGUGGCCUUUGGUGACCCAGUUCCCAAAAUUUUCAAGGUCCCUCUGCCAGGGUCAAGUGGAGACAUUGUGUCUGGAAUUGGUGGGUUGUUGGUCUCACUGACUUCAAGAAUGAAGCCGCGGACCUUCGUGGUGAGUGUUACAGUUCUUAAAGAUGGUGUGUCUGGAAUUUGUUCCUUCUGAUGUUCGGACGUGUUCGGAGUUUCUUCCUUCUGUUGGGUUCGUGGUCUCGCUGGCUUCAGGAGUGAAGCUGCAAACCUUCGCGGUGAGAGUUACAGCUCUUAAGGCGGCACAUCUGGAGUUGUUUGUUCCUCCCCUCCAGAAUUGUUCAUUCCUCCCGAUGGGUUCGUGGUCUUGCUGGCCUCAGGAGUGAAACUGCAGACCUUCGUGGUGAGUGUUACUGCUCAUAAACACAGUGCGGACCCGAAGAGUGAGCAGCGGC
rnacentral:lncRNA from 1 species